AGUCGAGAGGUCCUGCGCCGAAAAUGUCCGGGGCUGAAACACACUACCGAAGCUUAGGAAUUGACGAAUGUUAAUUGGUAGAGGAGCAUUCUUACCGAGACGAAGCUGUACCGGAAGGAGCAGUGGACUGUUAAGAAGAGAGAAUGCCGGAAUGAGUAGCGAGAGGAAGGUGAGAAUCCUUCCGGCCGAAUAUCUAAGGUUUCCAGAGUAAAGCUGAUCUGCUCUGGGUAAGUCGGGGCCUAAGGCGAGGUCGAAAGACGUAGUCGAUGGAUAACAGGUAAAGAUUCCUGUACUAUAUCAUAACAGAACUGUGGGGACGCAGACAGAGAGCAUAAGCCGGGAAUGGAAAAACCGGUACAAGCGAGGUAGGAGUGCAUCAGGCAAAUCCGGUGCACAAUCUGAAGACGUGAUGUGGGGCGUAAAGCCGGAAGUAUGUGAGCUGGCUGCCAAGAAAAGCCGCUAUUGUUUAUGAUAUACCCGUACCGUAAACCGACACAGGUGGAUGAGGAGAGAAUCCUAAGGCCGACGGGAGAAGCAUUGUUAAGGAACUCGGCAAAAUGACUCCGUAACUUCGGGAGAAGGAGUGCCAUGUAAAAGUGGCCGCAGAGAAUUGGCCCAAGCAACUGUUUAGCAAAAACACAGGUCUAUGCAAAACCGAAAGGUGAGGUAUAUGGGCUGACGCCUGCCCGGUGCUGGAAGGUUAAGGGGAGAGGUUAGCCGUAAGGCGAAGCUUUGAACUUAAGCCCCAGUAAACGGCGGCCGUAACUAUAACGGUCCUAAGGUAGCGAAAUUCCUUGUCGGGUAAGUUCCGACCCGCACGAAAGGCGUAAUGAUUUGGGCACUGUCUCAACAAUGCACCCGGUGAAAUUGAAAUACCAGUGAAGAUGCUGGUUACCUGCGCCAGGACGGAAAGACCCCAUGGAGCUUUACUCCAGCUUGAUACUGGGAUUCGAUAUUGCAUGUACAGGAUAGGUGGGAGACUGAGAACUGAUGACGCCAGUUGUCAGGGAGUCACUGUUGGGAUACCACCCUUGUAGUAUUGGAUUUCUAACCAGCAGCCGUGAACCGGCUGGGGGACAAUGUCAGGUGGGGAGUUUGACUGGGGCGGUCGCCUCCGAAAGGGUAUCGGAGGCGCUCAAAGGUUCCCUCAGAAUGGUUGGAAACCAUUCGAAGAGUGCAAAGGCAGAAGGGAGCUUGACUGCGACACCGACGGGUGGAGCAGGUACGAAAGUAGGACUUAGUGAUCCGGUGGUAUAAAGUGGGAUUGCCAUCGCUCAACGGAUAAAAGCUACCCUGGGGAUAACAGGCUUAUCACUCCCAAGAGUUCACAUCGACGGAGUGGUUUGGCACCUCGAUGUCGGCUCAUCGCAUCCUGGGGCUGAAGUAGGUCCCAAGGGUUGGGCUGUUCGCCCAUUAAAGCGGUACGCGAGCUGGGUUCAGAACGU
rnacentral:rRNA from 1 species